rnacentral:rRNA from 1 species
GACGUAGGGCGCGAGCGUUGUCCGGAUUUAUUGGGCGUAAAGAGUUCGUAGGCGGUUUGUUAAGUCUGAUGUAAAAGACUGGGGCUCAACCUCGGGACUGCAUUGGAUACUGGCAGACUGGAGUACGGUAGAGGCAAGUGGAAUUCCCAGUGUAGCGGUGAAAUGCGUAGAUAUUCGGAAGAACACCAGUGGCGAAGGCGACUUACUGGACGAUUGUUGACGCUGAGGUGCGAAAGCGUGGGGAGCAAACAGG